CGCCCUGCAGCCGGGAAGAAGGCGUUGAGGAAGAGAUGCACAUGCGUCAUGCUGGUGACAAGGAAAAACGCCAUAGUCGUGGCCUUCCACCCAAUGUCAUAGAUAGCCUAUCAGAAUGAAAUGACCAUGCAGAGCAAGGACUAGAGAAGAAGGGCAUUCCCACCACAGAGCACAUGAGCUAAUUGGAGCAGAAACAUUGCCAACAAUGGAAUGAAGCAUGGCAGACAGACUGCUUAGCACAGCAAGAAAAUGCUACUUUAAUGUGGAGCAAAAAAAGAAGGGUGAAGAUUAACCUUGCAGAAGUUGGAUGGAUUGUAUUUUCCAGUCUGUUCAAGACUGCAUUGGCUUGGCAAAUGAAUGCUUUACUCAACAAUGCAAAAUGAAGAUAACUAAGUAUUGCCCCAACAAUGCAAAGAAAGACACAUCCUGGAGAUUGAGAAAUUCCCUGAAGAAGGUCUCCAGCAUGAGUCAGAAAGCUUGGACUUCUGGUCCCGGUGACCAACUCAGAUUGGAUCCUGCAACAUUACCCUGGGCCACGUAUAUUUGCCUUCACAAAGAAAAUCAUUCUACUGAGCAAGGAACAAGACAAUAUUAGGAUUUAUCGGUUUGUAUUGAAUACUAAUAGCAAAGAGACUUAUAUACCACUUCACAGUGCUUUAUAGCCCUCUCUAAGCAGUUUACAGUCAGCAUAUUGUCCCCAACAAACUGGGUCCUCAUUCUAACCACUGCGCCACCAUGGCUCUUCAGUAUAAUAUAGUAUAUGGAAUAUGUAAAAUAAUGAGUUUCCUUAUGUACGAGAAUGUGUAAAGGCAGGAUUCUAACUAAGGUAUCACAAACGAAAGUGAGGUCUUCCAUCUCCUUACAAAAGAAAUGUAAUAUUUAAUUUCUUAAGUAUUGUAAUAUUUUUCAAGCUAUUUAACACAUUCCAAUGAUGUCAUUUCUGGGCAAUCACAACAGAUCAUUUCAAUGUUGUGCUCUGGUACAUAUUGUGCUGUAAAUUGCAUUUGCCUUGUUCUUCCAGUUUGGAGUCAUUCUUUUGGAACACGUUAUCUCUUUUUAUUUUAUUCAAUAAACAACUUGUUAUCCUCAGCAAA